UACGGGGGGGGGCAAGCGUUGUUCGGAAUUACUGGGCGUAAAGGGCGCGUAGGCGGUUGGAUAAGUCAGCUGUGAAAACCACGGGCUUAACUCGUGGCCUGCAGUUGAGACUGUCUGGCUUGAGUGUGGGAGAGGAGAGUGGAAUUCCUGGUGUAGCGGUGAAAUGCGUAGAUAUCAGGAGGAACACCGGUGGCGAAGGCGGCUCUCUGGACCACAACUGACGCUGAGGCGCGAAAGCUAGGGGAGCAAACGGG
rnacentral:rRNA from 1 species